rnacentral:rRNA from 1 species
UACGGAGGGUGCAAGCGUUAAUCGGAAUUACUGGGCGUAAAGCGCACGCAGGUGGCUGUGUAAGUCGGAUGUGAAAGCCCUGGGCUCAACCUGGGAACUGCAUUCGAUACUGUGCAGCUAGAGUAUGGGAGAGGAAAGUGGAAUUCCCGGUGUAGCGGUGAAAUGCGUAGAUAUCUGGAGGAACACCGGUGGCGAAGGCGGCAUCCUGGACCGACACUGACGCUGAGGAGCGAAAGCCAGGGGAGCAAACGGG